UUUGGAAUCUUGGACAAUGGGGGCAACCCUGAUCCAGCGACGCCGCGUGUGUGAUGAAGGCCUUCGGGUUGUAAAGCACUUUUGUCUGUGAAGAUAAUGACGGUAACAGACGAAUAAGCCCCGGCUAACUUCGUGCCAGCAGCCGCGGUAAUACGAAGGGGGCUAGCGUUGUUCGGAAUUACUGGGCGUAAAGCGCGUGUAGGUGGCGCCGAAAGUUAGAUGUGAAAGCCCUGAGCUCAACUCGGGAAUUGCAUUUAAAACUACGGUGCUAGAGUACGGCAGGGGAUAGUAGAAUACCCAGUGUAGAGGUGAAAUUCGUAGAUAUUGGGUGGAAUACCAAUGGCGAAGGCAGCUAUCUGGGCCGUAACUGACACUGAGACGCGAAAGCGUGGGUAGCAAACAGGAUUAGAUACCCCAGUAGUCCCUGAGCGGGCUGGCAAGGCGCAU
rnacentral:rRNA from 1 species